AAGGCAGGUACAAGAAAAAUCAGGUUGUGAAUAUAAAGAUUAAAAAAAAGCGGAAAAAAGCAGGUGUUUUUUUUUUUUUUUUUUU
rnacentral:ribozyme from 1 species